rnacentral:rRNA from 1 species
AGUCGAGCGGACAGAUGGGAGCUUGCUCCCUGAUGUUAGCGGCGGACGGGUGAGUAACACGUGGGUAACCUGCCUGUAAGACUGGGAUAACUCCGGGAAACCGGGGCUAAUACCGGAUGGUUGUUUGAACCGCAUGGUUCAAACAUAAAAGGUGGCUUCGGCUACCACUUACAGAUGGACCCGCGGCGCAUUAGCUAGUUGGUGAGGUAACGGCUCACCAAGGCAACGAUGCGUAGCCGACCUGAGAGGGUGAUCGGCCACACUGGGACUGAGACACGGCCCAGACUCCUACGGGAGGCAGCAGUAGGGAAUCUUCCGCAAUGGACGAAAGUCUGACGGAGCAACGCCGCGUGAGUGAUGAAGGUUUUCGGAUCGUAAAGCUCUGUUGUUAGGGAAGAACAAGUACCGUUCGAAUAGGGCGGUACCUUGACGGUACCUAACCAGAAAGCCACGGCUAACUACGUGCCAGCAGCCGCGGUAAUACGUAGGUGGCAAGCGUUGUCCGGAAUUAUUGGGCGUAAAGGGCUCGCAGGCGGUUUCUUAAGUCUGAUGUGAAAGCCCCCGGCUCAACCGGGGAGGGUCAUUGGAAACUGGGGAACUUGAGUGCAGAAGAGGAGAGUGGAAUUCCACGUGUAGCGGUGAAAUGCGUAGAGAUGUGGAGGAACACCAGUGGCGAAGGCGACUCUCUGGUCUGUAACUGACGCUGAGGAGCGAAAGCGUGGGGAGCGAACAGGAUUAGAUACCCUGGUAGUCCACGCCGUAAACGAUGAGUGCUAAGUGUUAGGGGGUUUCCGCCCCUUAGUGCUGCAGCUAACGCAUUAAGCACUCCGCCUGGGGAGUACGGUCGCAAGACUGAAACU